UACGUAGGGCGCAAGCGUUGUCCGGAAUUAUUGGGCGUAAAGAGCUCGUAGGCGGCCAGUUGCGUCCGCUGUGAAAUCCCGGGGCUUAACCCCGGGCGUGCAGUGGAUACGGGCUGGCUAGAGGCAGGCAGGGGAGAACGGAAUUCCCGGUGUAGCGGUGAAAUGCGCAGAUAUCGGGAGGAACACCGGUGGCGAAGGCGGUUCUCUGGGCCUGUACUGACGCUGAGAAGCGAAAGCAUGGGGAGCGAACAGG
rnacentral:rRNA from 1 species